UGAUAGCUGUGAAGCGUGAGGUUGCUGUCUGAAUUCACCGAACGAAAGUGAGGGAAGCAAAGGCAGGUUUUCCGUGGAGCGAAUGUCAAGUUAGGAAACUGGCGACAA
rfam:Clostridium hathewayi CAG:224 genomic scaffold, scf114